rnacentral:piRNA from 1 species
UCCGCUUUUCAGCUGACUCCUCGAUUGCUC